rnacentral:lncRNA from 1 species
GCGGACAUGGAGUGAGUCACAUACUCAGGUGACUUCUUGUGAACCAAUCCCCUAAUGAGUAAAGGAGUCAAUCACUGGGCGAGUAGGAGGGACUUCCGGGUUGGAUGGCGGAAGAGAGGAAGCAGGAAAGAGUUAUGUCUUUUUGGAUAGGGAUACGUGAGGACAAGAUAUAGCUACUAGAGUCUCCCGGUUUCAAUGGCGGUACUGUCAGGAUUCACCACUAGAGGCUUUAGAUUUAACAAGCCUUAUGAGAUUAGGAUUUUAGUUGUUACCAUUGUUUCUGAACUAAGUCUGUGUUGCGUUUUUCCUUCACAGUGGCUCAUCUGGGUUCAAGAGAGAAAGGCCUUUCCAGACUGGAAAUUACUUCUCUAAAAUGAGAAACUUACUCCUCAGUCUCACCAACCUGUAGCCAACUUUUUGUAGCGUGACAUUGUUAGGGAUGCAGAUAAGGUUGGGACAUGUCAUGGGUGACUUCAGUGUUGAAUCCAGGUAGAACUUUGCAUGGGGACACGGCAUACCACGAUAAAGGACUCGAAGAGACCGCCUUUACAACUCCAGGGAAAGCUGUUGACACAGACUCCUGGUUCUGCUUGACAUCUUUCUUCUCAGGAAAAACAAAACAAAACAAAACAAAACAAAACAGGAAAGCCCCGGUUCCCCAUAAUUAUCCUGUGACUUUCACAUGUUUGUGGUGGCACGGGUGUGUAACCACACAGAACUCAUGUCAAGUUCCCAUCCUUUUUGAUCAACACCGAGAGUUAAGCAAUCAAUGGUGGAUCGGGGAAACAGCCUGUAGAAAACAGAGGAACUGAGUUUAUUGGUGAGUCAAGGAUAAGCGGGUUCCACGUCUCAACUUAUGAAAAACACUAGCAGCAAGGGCUCACGUCUUUUGCUUUCUUUCAUGUUAAAUGAAAUUCCAAAGUGAUUUUUAGAUGCAGCCACAACGCGACCUUAUAGAAAGAUCUUGAAAUCCGACGUAAAGACCUUUUCUAUUGGUGAAGGCAGCCAUGCGACCGAGGAAUAAAAUUACGUUCGGCUGGAAACAGGGACUGAAGCGGUUUGUCCUCCCUAAGACGUUUCUAGCAAACGCAGGAGUUGGACGGCCUUGUCUGUAAUGUGCUGACCGUCCACCUAGGGACAAUGUGACCAUUUGGUUUUUGGCUGCUAUCUGAAAUGAGUUUGAGUGUCUCAGCUCAUUUCAUGAGAAACACAAAUAAAGGCCACAUAAUAAAACAUAGAAGCUCCUGGACUUCCAGACCGGCUCCAGUGGAGUCACGGGAAGGAAGAAGAGGAAAUUGUAAACCACGAGGCAUCAUGCCAGAGGAAAUGCCUCCGGUGACCCAGACUGAAUGCCCUAUGGUCUCAAAGACCCCACAUUCAAACUGCACGAUGUCUGGGUGUGCUUGACUCCAAGUCUCAGGCAGGGGCUAUCCUCUGUCUCUGCUUUUCCAUACCAUGCUCUCUGCUGUAUAUCUUCCUUAAGCUGCGUAAUAAAGAAUGAUAAGGGCUUCACUU